GACGAACGCUGGCGGCGUGCUUAACACAUGCAAGUCGAGCGGUAAGGCCCUUUCGGGGGUACACGAGCGGCGAACGGGUGAGUAACACGUGGGUGACCUGCCCUCAGCUCUGGGAUAAGGCCUGGGAAACCGGGUCUAAUACUGGAUAUGACUCCAUGACGCAUGUUGUGGGGUGGAAAGCCUUGUGCGGCUGAGGAUGGGCCCGCGGCCUAUCAGCUUGUUGGUGGGGUGANGGCCUACCAAGGCGACGACGGGUAGCCGGCCUGAGAGGGCGACCGGCCACACUGGGACUGAGACACGGCCCAGACUCCGUACGGGAGGCAGCAGUGGGGAAUCUUGCGCAAUGGGCGAAAGCCUGACGCAGCGACGCCGCGUGAGGGAUGAC
rnacentral:rRNA from 1 species